AAAUAACACUCUGUGAAGCCGUGGUCUUCUUGCGCGGGAUAGGGCACCUGAGGAAGCGGGCUGCGCCUGUGGCACAGUGGUACGGGGCCGGAAGAUAACUUACCUGAAGAGGCGAUCAAUCCCUGAGAAUCGCGGGCGACCCGUUUUUUGUGUGCCCGGGUGCGGGGUGCCGGGACACGGCGUUGAAGGCGCUGAGCGGAGGGAUCUCAGGGCGAGCUCGAGCGGCGACGGCGCGCUCUGUGAUUGCACCGCGAGCGCCUGAGGUGAUCUCGGCCUACAUCGCGUCAGCGGGGCCUUGGGCGUGAGCACCGCCCCCUGUCCGGACGCAGGGUACUGGGGCACCUCGAACUGUGGCACCUCACCCUUCUCCGGGGCCACGUCUUGGGGACUCCGACAGCCCCAAAUAAGCCCUCGGGGACUGGGGUUGUGAAAAGCGAGGUCGUGAAGACGCCGGCCUCAUACCGAAGGGUAGGACGGUGAGGUCAGCCCCGUCCCACUCCAACUAAAAUCAACCUGACAGACUUCCUUCCAGAGGAAGAUGUUGACUCUAAUGUAUUCUGUCUAGGAUGUGUUUCAUAAAUCUGGUUAGAAGAUUUCCCUUCCAGCAUCAACAAAUUGUUUUCUAAAUGUGGAAAAAGAGACAUUCAGUACAGGCUAACGUAACGUGGGACAGCAUGCAAAGCCAUGAGAAGUGGGAAAAUGAGAGAGAAUCUGGGCGUGGCUUACAGGGCUGCUGAAGUAAGACACACCCUUCGCUUCACCUGUGGCCUCCCGCGGCGGCUGCGGCUCCUUCGCAGGACCGGUAGGGGGCGCGCGCGGUUGAGUCCAGCAAUUGCGAGGACCUCCGCAGGCGCAGCCCAGCACUGACGCCUCUCCGGGCCGUGGCUCCUCUUUCCCAGGCCGAAAGCGGCCGGGCCCUCUGCUCCGCUGCGCCCUGGCGCGGCCGCACCCACUGCGCGUUUGUGAGCUGGCCAUCGGUCACACUGGGAUACUCGAGGAGGAGGCCUGGGGCCUGCAUUCAAUUCCCUAAGAGGGACCCGCGCUGGCCGCUGCAGGCGGGUGGAGAACGGGCGUCUGAGUCUUUGGCUUUCGUACCGGAAUCUCCCCGGGAGAUUUUACAAGCCCCUCCGAAUGUUCUGAUUGAAUUGGUCUGGGGGGGUCGGUCCGGGCAUCUAACGAGCAGCCGGGAUGGAGAAUUACUAGUCUGGAUUCUGGUCCUCAGAGGUUCACUCACGUUAAUCAACCCGAGUCCAUCUUGGUGGGAUUGUCUUGCUCCGAGGCCCUCCCACUGAGCUUUAUUUUCCUGCCUGAUUUCGGGGUCCGCUAACAGGAUGAACAGCGGACCAUACAGGCACGGUGAAAAUGACACUUGGUGACGUGGAAGACCCAGCUUGCCACAGUUGAGGCAGAGCUCCUCAGGGUCUUUUGUCUUAGUUAUCCCCGAGCUAUUUUUCAGGAACCGACAGGCUCCCCCACCCCAACACCGGAUGAAGGCCAGCAACUGGAGGCCAGGAAUAAUCAAGCACGCUCUCAUUUCAAAGAGGUGACGAUUGUGCCCGUGUUUAAAAGGGAUGCCUGAGACCAUGAGGAUUUGGAGUUUUGGAGGCGGAUCUGCCUUUGGGGAGUGAGCGUAGGGCCCUAAGAUGUGGUUGUGCUUUGAGACAGUUCCCAGGGUGAUGUGUCCCAUCAUCCAAACAUUGCAGGAUAAGUCAAAGUUACAGAAAGACUCUAGUUUACUUCCAGCCUAACAUUACCAAAAUACGGUAUUUGUCAGAAAACAUGUAGUAUUUGUAUAAUUUGAGAAUGUAAUUGAAGAACCCGAUAUAGAGCUUUUAGAAAGGGGAAAUAGAAAACUUAAAAAGAAUCUUGCUUGGUAUAUUAAUACCAACAUCUAAAAUAUAAUAAAAUUGAAUAAACCAGUGAGUUUUAUACUAUGAUUGAAAUAAAAUGCCACUAUGUUCUUAAGAGUGCUAGUUUAACAGGAAAUCUCCAAUGCAUUAUUAUCUAGACUCAUCUCAAAGGCUCACUUUUCAUUUGCAUGGGCCCUUGCUAUUUGUAGGGUAGGAGGCAGCACCUCGUUCUGGUGGCUGCCACCUUCAUGAGGAGACACUCCUUGUUAACAGGAUGGUUAGCCCACGGCUCUUCCCAGCCCCCUUUUCCACACCCAGUAAAUUGUUUUAGUUUAUGGCCCUCAGCUGCAGUUGCAAUCAUCAUCAAAUUCCAGUUUUGAAUUUAAAGGUGAAUAAUGAAUGCAAUGAACUUUCUAGAAUUUAUGAAGGGCAGUGAUGUUCCUUUUUAUCUAAUAAUUCUACAUGUGUAGCCUUUCAGUAUGCUAUUCUGUGGACUGAAUUUACAAAUUGUCAUUUGUUUAAUGAACUGUUAAUAUAACAUGAUGACUAACUGAAAACACAUACAAUUUGCUGGUAUUCCAGAAGUCUAUGGAUUUCGUUGUUUUGUUUAAAUAAAAGGCAUUAAAAGCA
rnacentral:lncRNA from 1 species